rnacentral:sRNA from 1 species
AUAUCUCUCUGUACGGGAAGGAUGAGAAGCUUCGACCAAGGUUCGAUUCGAGCGUCAGCGAGAAAGCGUUGCCGCAGGCAACGACCCGAAGGGCGAAGC